AUUUGAUCCAUUUUAAUAUGAAUUCAUCAUUUACAAAUUAUUUGUUUUAUAUAUUUAUUGCAUUCAAGUUGUUAUUAUAUGAAUGUAUUGUUUUUCAGUACUUUAAUACAUUACUUGUAAUUCCCUGUUGUUGUUUUUUAUUUUAUAAAAGUUUUAAAGAAAUUAAUGCACAGGUUUAAUUUAAUGACAUUUUAAAAUAAUGGUAUAAUUAGUAUCAGGAGUUUUUCUUAAGAUUUAAAUUGAAUAUUUAGUAUCCUUGGUAGUACCACUAAGACAUUUUCUUCAAUUCUGAGGAUUUAAGAUGAGUGCAGCAUUUCACUAGCACUAUUUGUUGUCUUUUACUCAAUAUAAACCUGAUCAUAACUUGCAAUUACAAGUAUUUAGAGCUCAUUGUCAUAUUUAAACACAAAUAUUUGUAUUGACAUAUUGUUAUAUAAAAACAUGUAUAUUUAUUUAUAAAUAAAUGUGUAUACAAAUAAUGACAU